rnacentral:rRNA from 1 species
AAGCUUACUUCUAUUAUGGAGAGUUUGAUCCUGGCUCAGGAUGAACGCUGGCGGCGUGCCUAAUACAUGCAAGUC